rnacentral:rRNA from 1 species
UACGUAGGGUGCAAGCGUUGUCCGGAAUUAUUGGGCGUAAAGAGCUCGUAGGCGGUUUGUCGCGUCGACUGUGAAAAACCACGACUCAACCGUGGGACUGCAGUCGAUACGGGCAGGCUAGAGUUCGGUAGGGGAGACUGGAAUUCCUGGUGUAGCGGUGAAAUGCGCAGAUAUCAGGAGGAACACCGGUGGCGAAGGCGGGUCUCUGGGCCGAUACUGACGCUGAGGAGCGAAAGCGUGGGGAGCGAACAGG